AUUACUUGACUAGAGCUCAUACAAGCAAAUAUUGAACAUGUUAUACUCCUUGGUAUUCAGUUAAAGGACCUCACUGCUAAUUGUGUUGUGGCAACCUAUCUUUCUUUUUUGUGAUACAAGAAAAGAUUUGCACUGAAGGUUCUAUAGAUGGAAGACUAAUGCACUCAUUUACUACCCUUUCCUUUAACAUGAAAUUCAGUGAAUUGGACGGAAACAAAUUGAGUAUCCAGGCCAGCUAAUUAUUAAUUCAGGAGGGAAUCUUCUCCCUCAUCCCAUGACAGCUUACUUUGCUUAAGAGACUUCGGUGAGGGACCUUGUCAAAGACUUUCUGAAAAUCUAAGUACACAAUAUCCACUGGAUCACCGUUGUCCAUAUGCUUGUGGAUCCCUUCAAAUAAUUCUUGUAUAUUGUUAUGGAGAAAUUCUGGCAUGUAUCCAGCCAGAUGUGGUUCCUGGUAUUAAAGCCUAAGAAAUAAGUCACAAGGAAGACUAAUGAACAGCCACUGAUGUUGAAAAAUAAGUUUCCUAGGAGAUAGAGGGAGUUGAAUGGAUUUGAUGUCAUAGUGUACACACACAAAAGAACAACUCCAUAGUGCCCAUUUUGAGUGGAAAACUCUGUCUCUAAUUUUCCAUUUACCUUGAAUGGUAUAUUGGGAAUAUUCCCACAUGGAACUCCUGAAGAAAAAGUAAGAUGAACCACUGCAUUAUGAACAGACUGAAACUGAUCCAGAAGAGGCAACUCAGCAAUGCAUCAGUAAAGUUGACAAGAAUGGGAUACUUAUGUUCUCUUUAGCUUUAUCUGGUGGGAAGCAUCAUAUCCCAACCUGUAUCAGAGUUGAAGGAUGAGUUCUAGAUCUAUAAAAUUUGGAUUUCUUCAAUUGUUUAACUCGUAAUAAGCAGAAAUCAUGUUAGAAGUCAGGAGUUUUGGU